GCACCGGUUUAGCUCAGUGGUUACUUCUCGCUUUACCCGUGUCUACCCUGCGGACCGCGGACUAAGGGGUUCAACCACGGGCGCUGUCCGGUGCUUUU
ensembl:vault_RNA Vault Vault RNA